rnacentral:rRNA from 1 species
UACGAAGGGGGCUAGCGUUGUUCGGAAUUACUGGGCGUAAAGCGCGCGCAGGCGGUUCGGCAAGUUGGGUGUGAAAUCCCCGGGCUCAACCCGGGAAUGGCCUUCAAAACUGUCGAGCUAGAGGACGAGAGAGGUGAGUGGAAUUCCCAGUGUAGAGGUGAAAUUCGUAGAUAUUGGGAAGAACACCGGUGGCGAAGGCGGCUCGCUGGCUCGUUUCUGACGCUGAGGCGCGAAAGCGUGGGGAGCAAACAGG